rnacentral:tRNA from 1 species
AGGGGUAUAUCUUAAUGGUAAAGAAUACUACUCAUAAUAGUAACUAUAAGUGUUCGAUUCACUUUACCCCUA